rnacentral:lncRNA from 1 species
AGAAGCGCAAAGGUUGUGAAUGGACAAUGGUUUGGCGGUCAAAGAAAGGCCCCUUUAUCUAGUGCCCCCUGUGGUGACAAACAGUUCUCGGAGCUUUCAAUAUCCCUGGUUGCCAGUGAAGAAGUUUUCUUGGAACCAGUGAAGAAGUUCAAAGGCUCAGUAAAUCGACAAGGAUUAGGUGGUCUAAGCCUCCACCUAUUCUGAGUGCCACAGAUGGUGAACAGUUAUUGAAUCUUACAAUAUCUGUACUUGUAGCUUCUUCUUCGAGACAGUGAGGAAGUUCGUCGUCAACGAUUUGGUGGUUUAAGAAAGGCCUCACCUUGUAUGUGUGUGCUACAGAGGAUGACGAACGGUUCUCGGAGAUAACAAUCUCUGUUCUUGUUUGGGUGCAGGUAGAACUCUCUUGUCUUUUCUGGUCAGUUCCCUUUUACAGCUUGUUAUUGUCUCAGACUCCGAUUUUUUGGAUCGAUUUAUUUUGCCUUUGACAUUUAUCUAGAAUGUUUUGUUGCUUUAGGAAACCUGCUUCCUCGUAUGCUUGCUUCGCUGCCUGCUAAGGGACCAGUAAUUUGCGAAAGAUGGGAGUCGAGGAGGUUGUUUGCGCUCACUUCAGUCCAAGCCAUCGUCUGCUGUUGGCUUGAUGGAUCUCUCUCCCCCCUUCAAGGGGUCUGCAUGAAAUAUUCAUAUAGCUGUUUUUGUUGUUCGUGCUUGUAUUGUUCCCUUAACCCACCAAUACUUGACAGCUGCGAUGGGGAAUCGUAGGAGUGUCUGUUUAUACAAUCACGAAAAUCUCUUUACUCUUGUCCAUUCGGAUAACUUUUGAAGGAUGCAGUCUGCUUUGGUUGUUUAGUUCAUGGAUCCUAUACCUCAGAUGCGAGUAGUCAGUUUGGGGAUAUGAAGCUAUAUUCCAAUGUUUGUAAGAUGGUUUUUCUUGAUUGUGUUACUUUCAGCUGAGGCUAUGUGAUUGGAUCCUUUGCCGUUUCGAUCAAUCUUGUUGAUGUACCAACUGCCCUCGUUACAAUUGAAGGUAUGAGUUGGUUGGCUAGUCAAGCCUGCUUGUACACAAAUUUUGUUUGCCAAGGUUUGCAUUGCACGGAAAGGUUUCUGUAUGAGGGCGUUCUGGCUAUGCACUUAACAAUGAGAGAGCAUUCUAACUUUCCCCCUAACGACGUUUCUGGAAUUCAAAAUCAAGGUUAAGUUCCCAGUCAAUGUGACUGAGCCUCUGUUACGAUGCUCGAGUCCAUCCACCGUCUUUGCAGGCUGAAAGGGGCAGGAUCCCUUAGCCCCUGAGAUGGUUUUGCAGCUUAUCGCUGACAUCUAUUUGGUUAGUCCCUACUGUUGUCCUAAUUAACUGUGACCGUUGCAUUGGCCGACACCGAAACAUAUGUGGCAGCUAAAAUUCUGAGUAGUUUUGUGGAGCCUUCAG